AACUGUUGUCGUAACAAAAAAGAUGAUUUUUCCUAUCAAAACAGAGUAAAUCUUCAUCAACUUUCUCUUCUCCUCAGGGAACCGCAGACAUAGAGAUCGACAGAGCUUAUGUAUAGAAGCCUAAACUGGAGCAGUAUUUGAAGAUCAUCCGUCAAUAUAGCUUCGAUCUCAAGCUGUGUUGAAGGAUAUAUACUUCAAAUCGAAGAUGAAAAAUAAUCUCUAUAGAAGGUGUUGAUUAAACAUGCAAGAUCAUCAAUGGCUGAUCAAGCUCACCUCGUACACAAAAGUUAAGUGAAGAAUACAAAUAGAUUUCCAACAUAUAUGAUUCGAGAUAGUCAGAAUUAACAUACGAAGGUAACAAGAGAAACUGACACGAAACAUUGAAGACAAAGAGGAAGAAAGGGAGAGAGAUAAUAAGACGAUGUAGAUCGAAUCUCUAUAGAUAAUAAGCAGUACCAUAUUGGUUUAACUGGGCAGAUCUCCACCAAGAUAAUGCCUAAGCUCACAUAGACAUUGAACGACAAACUGUUUGAUCAUAUAUUGGACUAACUGUGCAGACAGUAAGAUAUAUGUCGGAAAAGAGAGAAUGUACAUUCGUGUGUGUUGGAGAUCAAAACACAUAUAUAUUCCAAACAUCAUCCAGAAAAGAGGUUAGGAAAAAAGUUAGAAAUAUACUUUCGCCUUUUUAGUACUCAAAUUAAAAUUAAGUUAGUAAUAAAAAGAAAUCAAUUUCGAAACAGCAUCGGUUAGAACUAAGAUUGAACAUUUGCCUUACAAUUUCUGCUUGGCUUGUCACUGAUUAUUGCUGUAUUAAUGGUACUUGAAUUUCUGUGUUUGAUAUAAUAUUGGACGGUAAUUUUUAGUUUAUCUAAAACAUGAAUACUUAGAAAAAUAAAAGCAUUAGUUCACUAAAAUAUAAAUGUUGCUAAAACGAAAGAAUGAAAUCAGUCUGAGUUCCUCCUAAACAUACAAUCCAGAUCCUUGCUUUAGUGAAAUCUGCAAUAAUCAAAUAAUUUAUUAGAUAAAAAACCACAUGAUUUUAUUCAUAUAACCUACUCGAAUCUACUUACAUCAUACAAAACGAUUACUUAUAAGAGAUUAAGUAGUUCACUACUUAAAAUUGUCUUUAAAAUGGCAUACCUUGUCACUCCUUGACGUGUACUCUCG